GACGAACGCUGGCGGCGUGCUUAACACAUGCAAGUCGAACGAAGAGCGAUGGAAGCUUGCUUCUAUCAAUCUUAGUGGCGAACGGGUGAGUAACGCGUAAUCAACCUGCCCUUCAGAGGGGGACAACAGUUGGAAACGACUGCUAAUACCGCAUACGAUCUAACCUCGGCAUCGAGGAAAGAUGAAAGGUGGCCUCUAUGUAUAAGCUAUCACUGAAGGAGGGGAUUGCGUCUGAUUAGCUAGUUGGAGGGGUAACGGCCCACCAAGGCGAUGAUCAGUAGCCGGUCUGAGAGGAUGAACGGCAACAUUGGGACUGAGACACGGCCCAGACUCCUACGGGAGGCAGCAGUGGGGAAUCUUCCGCAAUGGACGAAAGUCUGAAGGAGCAACGCCGCGUGAGUGAUGACGGCCUUCGGGUUGUAAAGCUCUGUUAAUCGGGACGAAAGGCCUUCUUGCGAAUAGUGAGAAGGAUUGACGGUACCGGAAUAGAAAGCCACGGCUAACUACGUG
rnacentral:rRNA from 1 species